GAUGAACGCUGGCGGCGUGCCUAAUACAUGCAAGUCGAACGGGUGCAGCAAUGCAUCAGUGGCAGACGGGUGAGUAACACGUGGGAACCUUCCUAGGGGUACGGAACAACUCAGGGAAACUUGAGCUAAUACCGUAUACGUCCGUGAGGAGAAAGAUUUAUCGCCCUUAGACGGGCCCGCGUCGGAUUAGCUAGUUGGUGGGGUAACGGCCUACCAAGGCGACGUUCCGUAGCUGAUCUUAGAGGAUGAUCAGCCACACUGGGACUGAGACACGGCCCAGACUCCUACGGGAGGCAGCAGUGGGGAAUCUUGGACAAUGGGCGCAAGCCUGAUCCAGCCAUGCCGCGUGAGUGAAGAAGGUCUUCGGAUUGUAAAGCUCUUUUGCCAGGGACGAUAAUGACGGUACCUGGAGAAUAAGCCCCGGCAAACUUCGUGCCAGCCGCCGCGGUAA
rnacentral:rRNA from 1 species